AGUGAACGCUGGCGGCAGGCCUAACACAUGCAAGUCGAGCGGCAGCGCGUCCGACCACCCUCGGGUGGUCGGAUGGCGGCGAGCGGCGGACGGGUGAGGAAUGCAUCGGAAUCUGCCUCGUUGUGGGGGAUAACGUAGGGAAACUUACGCUAAUACCGCAUACGACCUACGGGUGAAAGUGGGGGACCUUCGGGCCUCACGCGAUGAGAUGAGCCGAUGCCGGAUUAGCUAGUUGGCGGGGUAAAGGCCCACCAAGGCGACGAUCCGUAGCUGGUCUGAGAGGAUGAUCAGCCACACUGGAACUGAGACACGGUCCAGACUCCUACGGGAGGCAGCAGUGGGGAAUAUUGGACAAUGGGGGGCAACCCUGAUCCAGCCAUGCCGCGUGUGUGAAGAAGGCCU
rnacentral:rRNA from 1 species